rnacentral:rRNA from 1 species
AGCUACUCCGUGCCAGCAGCCGCGGUAAUACGGAGGGUGCGAGCGUUGUUCGGAUUUAUUGGGCGUAAAGCGCGUGUAGGCGGUUUUAUAAGUCUGAUGUGAAAGCCCUGGGCUCAACCUGGGAAGUGCAUUGGAUACUGUAAGACUUGAAUACGGGAGAGGGCAGUGGAAUUCCUGGUGUAGGAGUGAAAUCCGUAGAUAUCAGGAGGAACACCGGUGGCGAAGGCGGCUGCCUGGACCGAUAUUGACGCUGAGACGCGAAAGCGUGGGUAGCAAACAGGAUUAGAUACCCUGGUAGUCCACGCAGUAAACGGUGAACACUAGGUGUCGCGGG